rnacentral:rRNA from 1 species
AUUGAACGCUGGCGGCAUGCCUUACACAUGCAAGUCGAACGGUAACAGGUCUUCGGAUGCUGACGAGUGGCGAACGGGUGAGUAAUACAUCGGAACGUGCCCGAGAGUGGGGGAUAACGAAGCGAAAGCUUUGCUAAUACCGCAUACGAUCUCAGGAUGAAAGCAGGGGACCGCAAGGCCUUGCGCUCACGGAGCGGCCGAUGGCAGAUUAGGUAGUUGGUGGGAUAAAAGCUUACCAAGCCGACGAUCUGUAGCUGGUCUGAGAGGACGACCAGCCACACGGGGACUAAGACACGGCCCAGACUCCUACGGGAGGCAGCAGUGGGGAAUUUUGGACAAUGGGCGCAAGCCUGAUCCAGCCAUGCCGCGUGCAGGAUGAAGGCCUUCGGGUUGUAAACUGCUUUUGUACGGAACGAAAAGACUCUGGUUAAUACCUGGGGUCCAUGACGGUACCGUAAGAAUAAGCACCGGCUAACUACGUGCCAGCAGCCCAGUAA